UCCGGUUUGUCACCGGCAGUCUGGCGUGAGUCCCCAACUUAAUGCUGGCAACACGCCACGGGGGUUGCGCUCGUUGCGGGACUUAACCCAACAUCUCACGACACGAGCUGACGACAGCCAUGCAGCAUCUGUGGUGCACCCUCGAAGGUCACACGUUUCCGUGCGCUUGCAGCACCAUGUCAAGUCCAGGUAAGGUGGGGAUGACGUUUCUAGGAGGGUG
rnacentral:misc_RNA from 1 species